GACGAACGCUGGCGGCGCGCCUAACACAUGCAAGUCGAACGAGCGAGCGAGAGCUUGCUUUCUUGAGCGAGUGGCGAACGGGUGAGUAACGCGUGAGGAACCUGCCUCAAAGAGGGGGACAACAGUUGGAAACGACUGCUAAUACCGCAUAAGCCCACGGUGCCGCAUGGCACAGAGGGAAAAGGAGCAAUCCGCUUUGAGAUGGCCUCGCGUCCGAUUAGCUAGUUGGUGAGGUAACGGCCCACCAAGGCGACGAUCGGUAGCCGGACUGAGAGGUUGAACGGCCACAUUGGGACUGAGACACGGCCCAGACUCCUACGGGAGGCAGCAGUGGGGAAUAUUGCACAAUGGGGGAAACCCUGAUGCAGCGACGCCGCGUGGAGGAAGAAGGUCUUCGGAUUGUAAACUCCUGUUGUUGGGGAAGAUAAUGACGGUACCCAACAAGGAAGUGACGGCUAACUACGU
rnacentral:rRNA from 1 species